rnacentral:rRNA from 1 species
GACGAACGCUGGCGGCGUGCCUAAUACAUGCAAGUUGAGCGCUGAAGGUUGGUACUUGUACCAACUGGAUGAGCAGCGAACGGGUGAGUAACGCGUGGGGAAUCUGCCUUUGAGCGGGGGACAACAUUUGGAAACGAAUGCUAAUACCGCAUAAAAACUUUAAACACAAGUUUUAAGUUUGAAAGAUGCAAUUGCAUCACUCAAAGAUGAUCCCGCGUUGUAUUAGCUAGUUGGUGAGGUAGAGGCUCACCAAGGCGAUGAUACAUAGCCGACCUGAGAGGGUGAUCGGCCACAUUGGGACUGAGACACGGCCCAAACUCCUACGGGAGGCAGCAGUAGGGAAUCUUCGGCAAUGGACGAAAGUCUGACCGAGCAACGCCGCGUGAGUGAAGAAGGUUUUCGGAUCGUAAAACUCGGUUGGUAGAGAAGAACGUUGGUGAGAGUGGAAAGCUCAUCAAGUGACGGUAACUACCCAGAAAGGGACGGCUAACUACGUG